UACGUAGGGGGCGAGCGUUGUCCGGAGUUACUGGGCGUAAAGCGCACGCAGGCGGUCUGCUAAGUUUGGAGUGACAGUUGGUGGCUUAACUGCCAAAGUGCUUCGAAACUGACAGACUUGAGGGCUUCAGAGGGACACGGAAUUCCGGGUGGAGUGGUGAAAUGCGUAGAGAUCCGGAGGAACACCAAAGGCGAAGGCAGUGUCCUGGGGAGUACCUGACGCUCAGGUGCGAAAGCCAGGGAGCGAACGGG
rnacentral:rRNA from 1 species